rnacentral:rRNA from 1 species
GACGAACGCUGGCGGCGUGCUUAACACAUGCAAGUCGUACGGUAAGGCCCUUUCGGGGGUACACGAGUGGCGAACGGGUGAGUAACACGUGAGUAACCUGCCCACAACUUUGGGAUAACGCUAGGAAACUGGUGCUAAUACUGGAUAUGUGCUCCUGCUGCAUGGUGGGGGUUGGAAAGCUCCGGCGGUUGUGGAUGGACUCGCGGCCUAUCAGCUUGUUGGUGGGGUAGUGGCCUACCAAGGCGGCGACGGGUAGCCGGCCUGAGAGGGUGACCGGCCACAGUGGGACUGAGAUACGGCCCAGACUCCUACGGGAGGCAGCAGUGGGGAAUAUUGCACAAUGGGCGCAAGCCUGAUGCAGCAACGCCGCGUGCGGGAUGACGGCCUUCGGGUUGUAAACCGCUUUCAGCAGGGACGAAGCUUUUUGUGACGGUACCUGCAGAAGAAGCAGCGGCUAACUACGUG